rnacentral:rRNA from 1 species
GUCCACGCCGUAAACGAUGAUUACUCGUUGUUUGUGAUAUACAACAAGCGACCAAGCGAAAGCAUUAAGUAAUCCACCUGGGGAGUACGCCGGCAACGGUGAAACUCAAAGGAAUUGACGGGGGCCCGCACAAGCGGAGGAACAUGUGGUUUAAUUCGAUGAUACGCGAGGAACCUUACCCGGGCUUGAAAUGUACUUGACCGUGGUGGAAACACCACUUCUAGCAAUAGCAAGUAUGUAGGUGCUGCAUGGUUGUCGU